GGAGCAAGUGAAAGAGAGAGGGAGUAAGAUAGACAGAAUAAGACAGGCAGAAGGACAGACUCAGAGAAAAGUGUUUCAGUUUCAUCAACACCUACUGUUGCAAAUGUAACACUCUAAGAGGGGGCAGUUAGUGAUUAAAGGGGGAAUGCCCUUUCUUUGUGUGUCUCCAUCACCUGCUACAAUAACACUCCUCAUCCAGUAGCAGACACCACUGUCCUGCACAUUACAUUACAAAAGAACUACAGACAUUUUCAUUACCCAGGCUGACAGUCUGCGUACACUGAGCAACUGGAUGGUGGGCUUCAGGGGUGGGGUGUUGGGAACUCAAGAGCAGCCUUUCAGCCCACAUUUGUUAUUUAUUGUUAAUUUCCCAGCACAUAAUCAUCCAAAAAUGCAAACUGACUGCAGCAAAAUUAAGCAGAAAAUUAGAUGGCCCUGGGUCAUGGAGGAUGCGGGUGUUUGGCAUAGCCAGCUGAUUGGCGCUCGUGUUCACUCUAAUUUACUGAGCAUGCAUGGGUAAGCCCGGCAGCCCGGCUCUCUUUCUCUCUUUCUCUCUAUCACUCGUACACGCUCACACGGGCAAGCUGUAGACAUAAACAAAAGGUGAAGUGGACACAGCAAUGGAGAGAGAAAGAGAGAGGGGUGACAGAGAGAGGAAGAAAAACAGGGGGAGUAAAUGAAAGAGAGAGCUCAAGAAAGAGAGGAAGUAUGAAAGAAGGGGAAUGAGAGAAGAAGGAAAAAAUUAAAAUGUCAAACGAAUGACACAAGUAAGAAGAUUUAAGUGUGAGAAAAAGACAAAGGGGAAAGAAAGGAGUGUUUGAGAAUGCAAGGCAAAAUGAGCAGUGCUUCCUCUGGCCAGGCCUGCAUAUCGAAGGAGUCACCAGUGCGCAUGGCCCCAUUAAUAAUGCAGGGUCCCGUCAGGCCUUGCAGCAGAUGGGCACAACAGCCUCGGCCUUCUCGCUGCCACUUCAAGACGCUCCCACUGGAGGUCCGCACCCGGCCCUGCAGUCACGCAGGGAGAAGUGAAGCUCCCGAAAAUAGCCAAGCAAGCUGAAGCGCGCCCCUGGGAGAAGGGGAACCUAGGCCUUCCUGUUUUCACUGACAGAUGGCUCCACACAUUUGGAACAAAUACCGGGAAACAAGUUUUUGAUCCGUAUGUCACAAGACUUUAGCGUUUCUGUGGAUGACUCCACAGCAGUAUGCACUCCCUAAUUAGAUUAAAUUAGAUUAGGUGUUUUUCUAGAGAAGAGGUGUGCUUGUGUACUGCAAUGUAAGUUAAAGGUUAGACUUGUUCAGUGUGAUUAUGUGCCGAUCUUCGAUUCUCGACACUUAGGCUUUUUGUCAGGACAACAUUUCUGAAUACGUGCAUGUGUGUGAAAGUGUGCGGGUGUGUUUAAGUGUAUUUUGUCAGUAUUCCUAUUGUGCCCCCUCUGCUGAGUAGCUAUUGCAAAGGGAAAUAUUGAUGCUGUGGAUAAAGGAGGGGGUGGAGACAUUAAUACAUCUCAUGAUGGCAGAUUCCUCAGUACUGGUGUAGGUCUGGAAAUUGUGUGUCAAUACGUCUAUGAUUAUGUAUACAAAAUUUAUGCGCUUUUUUGUUUUUUUUUAUUUCAAAACUGUUUGUAAUACGUUUUUUUUUUUUUCAUUUAAUAAUAUAUUUUCGAAAUGUUAAUUCCAGAAAAAAAGGUAGAAAUGACAGAGCAGAUUGAAAUUUUAAUAUUUCAUAUGAGCUGUCUAUAAAAAAAAACAUACAUAAGUAAAUAUGAGUUAGCCAGUAAAUGUGAGCCAAGUUUCCUUAAAGUUUUAGUUUUCAAAUUACGGAGCACAUCUCCGCCUAACGAAGAUUUCUAUCUACCCUGCUUCUGGGAAACCUGGCCAAAAAAUUUAGGUUUGACUACACACAUUUUUGAACUGUAGGCGUCAAUCAUAAUUUAUGUACUUCAGUUCAUAUUUUACUGGAAAUGUGUACAAACAGAUAUAUUUUUUAUUCAUAGUACAUUUCAUAUCAUAGGGGCAGAGACUCAAAAAUAUCAUGUCUUAAUGAUGUGAAGACAUUUCAGAGAAAAUGAAGUUUAUCAUGUAAAUUAGUGUGCUGGUGCUAGUCAACAAGUUGCUCUAAACACAUCAUAUGCUCAGAAGAGACAGUUAAUAAAAUGUUUUGGCUGUGAUAUAACCCUUUUAGAUUACUGCUUAACCACUAGGAACAUUUUGUUAUACUGUUUUUAUGCUGCUCUCCUGCUCUUGUAUGUGUGAAUGUGUAGAGAUAAGAUGACUUCACUUCUGUAGCACAUUUGACAGGUAACUUUGCUGAGAGUAAGGAGACAUAGUGGCGUUUGCAUAUGUGAACCUACAGAGACACAGAGAGUGUGUGUGUUUGCACUGAAGAGCAAAGCAGCGCAACAAAUAAGCUCAAGCAGAGCAGGGUGGAGACUGUGAGGUGCAAAACCGUUAAACAGACAAAAUGACAUUGCUCAGGUCAGAGGAUUACAGAGAAACUGCGUGCACUUCUGGAAAAAUAAAGAGCUACAAGCAUCGCAGAGAUGAUGGGAAUGGGUGGUCUUCUGAGCUAAAAUAUUACUAACAUUUAUAAUUAGCUGUGGGGUGGUGGGGGAGCAAACUUAGUAACCCAGGAAGGGUAGGAAUAACUUCUUCUCUGACUGACUGGUCUUGCAUCAGUGGGGAUUUCAGCAGAGUACUGGACGAGCUGAUCUCUGUCAGUGUGAGAUGAUGAUGAUGAUGAGCUGCAGCUCACAGCUUUCACUCAAAUAAAACUCCAGCACAGACUCAUUUACAUCUGCUCCACUUCACUACACUGGCCCUCAAAAACUUCAGCUCUUCUCUCUCUCUCUCUCUCUCUCUCUCUCUCUCUCUCUCUCUCUCUCUCUCUCUUUUCUUACUCUACAUUAAUUUUUUUUCACAUUUUUUUAUUUGUAUUUGUUAUGUAUAUUAUGUAAAAAUAUAUUAUUACCCAUGCCAUCCUAUAAGUUUGUGUAAGGAUGAGUGCGGAAAUUCAUGAGGAGAUAUGAAAUACAGCAAAUUACCAUUA